rnacentral:snRNA from 1 species
GAAAUUAUAGAUUUCUAUUCUUUUGGAACAAUACCGAGUAAAUUAGCAUGGCCCCUGGGCAAGGAUGACACAUAAAUUCAUGAAGGGUUCUAUUAAAAA